CCUACGGGGGACAGCAGUGAGGAAUAUUGGUCAAUGGACGGAAGUCUGAACCAGCCAUGCCGCGUGCAGGAAGACGGCUCUAUGAGUUGUAAACUGCUUUUGUACAAGGGUAAACCUGAAUACGUGUAUUCAGCUGAAAGUACUUUAAGAAUAAGGAUCGGCUAACUCCGUGCCAGCAGCCGCGGUAAUACGGAGGAUCCAAGCGUUAUCCGGAUUUAUUGGGUGUAAAGGGUGCGUAGGCGGAUAGGUAAGUUAGAUGGGAAAUGUCCGAGCUUAACUUGGGAACUGCCUUUAAUACUGUUGAUCUAGAGUGUAGAUGCGGUAGGCAGAAUGUAAGGUGUAGCGGUGAAAUGCUUAGAGAUCAUACAGAACACCGAAUGCGAAGGCAGCUUACCAAGCUAGAUCUGACGUUGAGGCACGAAAGCGUGGGGAGCAAACAGGAUUAGAUACCCGGGUAGUC
rnacentral:rRNA from 1 species